UGUGCAGGGAGCACAGCAUCGCGAGAGCAGUGGCUCUCAACGCGGUCCCUGGAGCAGCGGCAUCAACUGCCCCUGGAAGAUUCUCCUAGAAAUGCAAGUUCUCCUAGAAAUGCAAGUUCUCCAGCCCUGCCCAGACCACUGGGGUGGAGCCCAGCAAUCUGCAUCUUCACAAGCCCUCCAGGACAUGCUGAUCCACACUGACCUUGGAGAACCACUGGUUUGGAGCAGAGUCUGGUCAACUUUCCCUGUACAGGGUCAGAUCCUGGUUCCUUCUUACUGGCAGAUGUCCCUUUCAUGAGAGGUUCAACCAUCCAGCAGGGAGAAAGUCUUUUCCCAAAGCAACCGGAGGCUCCCAGCAGCCUUGUUUCCCAUGCUUCCCCACAGCACUGCACCCCAAGAAGAGGCUCAUUGCUGCUCUUGCUCACAAGGAGAAGACUCCCCGGGGCUCUAGCAGCGAAGGAGUCGAACUCGAAGCAAGCAUCUUCCUCUGAUAAUUUUUCUCCUCAGGAAAAUCCAUAAUUUUCUGAGAACACCAGAAACAAGAAGCCUGGUCUGAUUUAUGGCCCACUCACCCUCAUGGUAGCUGUCCUGUACCACCUUGCACGCCCCUCAGCCUGACGUGUUAGCUGACGUCCACCAGCCUGAUGUCUGCACAGCAACGACCGUGGUGUGAAAAUGCAUUGAGCGAUUUGCUUAUGGGGGCACCUCUCUGAGUAUGUGUCAUACUCCAGCAAAAUAACUCAUGUUUUAAAGGUGCAUAAACCAUGACCAUGGACCUGUCCUCCCUGAUGCUUCUGUAUUACCAAGUCUAAGAUAAGUGAAAUGCAAAUAAAUGGAAAGCACUCCAGGGUGGAGCUGUGGGGCGGACGUGUUGGGUUUGAGAGAAAGCAGCGGGGAGCCUUCAGUAUUUGCUCCCCAACCACCUUUCCUGAGGAGUUGCUUCUGAUGUGCUAAGUUUCUUUUUUUUUUUUUUUUAAAGAUUUUUUAUUUAUUUAUUUGACAGAGAUAGAGACAGCCAGCGAGAGAGGGAACACAAGCAGAGGGGAGAGGGAGAGGAAGAAGCAGGCUCAUAGCAGAGGAGCCUGAUGUGGGGCUCGAUCCCACAACGCUGGGAUCACGCCCUGAGCCGAAGGCAGACGCUUAACCGCUGCGCCACCCAGGCGCCCCUGAUGUGCUAAGUUUCUUGAACUAGAGUGUUAGCUCUUCUCAAGGUGGCCGUCUGCACGGGACUCUGUACUCACCAGCGGCCCUCACUGCUUCUGGCUGAGGGAUGCUGAUGGUCCUGGCUGUUACUACUACCUGUCAUUUCCUUGUACCCUGAUUUAACAUUGCAAAUAGUCCCUUCAUAAAAUCCUCAUUAAAAUCUUGUAAUUUUUUUUUAAAGAUUUUAUUUAUUUAUUUGACAGAGAUAGAGAUAGCGAGCGAGAGGGAACACAAGCAGAGGGAGUGGGAGAGGAAGAAGCAGGCUCAUAGUGGAGGAGCCUGAUGUGGGGCUCGAUCCCAUAACGCCGGGAUCACGCCCUGAGCUGAAGGCAGACGCUUAACCGCUGUGCCACCCAGGCGCCCCUAAAAUCUUGUAAUUUGAAGAUGCCAUGCAUUUCCUAUAAAGAGCCCUAUGUGAUAUGGGAUUUAAAGGGAGCCUAUGGUCAAGCACAGAAUGGAGAAACCACAUGUUGGGUUGUCAGAGCGUGUUCAGAAAGAAAGAAUGUGCACUGCCCUCCAGUGUGGGCCACCAGAGUCCGCAUGCCUGAGGGGAUUUUCCUGGGAAGGUCUUGUCACAUCUCUGGUGGUCUAUCUCCUUGUUCUUGGCGGUCUCCUCUCUACUGCUGAGCACUGCUGACCUCCUCCCAGAGGACUGGGAGAAAGAGGACUGGCCGAUGGUGAGUCCCCAGCGAAUACUGUUGACUGUGCAUCUCUCACAAGGGCACCGAUUGAUGACUUCUCAAUAAAGGAACGCACCAGAACCAAGAGCACCCAGACCAAGAAACGGGUGUCGCCAGCACCCUCCAGGCUCCUUCAUGGUCUGGGUCACUCCACCUGCAAUGGCAGCCUUCACACGGACUUUUAACACCAGAGUUCCAGGUUUCUGUUUUUGAACUUUAUGUAAAUAAGAUCUUAUAUCAUGUUUUUUGUGUCUAAUUUUUUUUUUAAUUUUACCUUAUGUUUGUGAGAUUCAUCUGGUUUUGCGUAUGCCAUUCUCAUUGCUGUGUGGUUUUCCAUUUUAUGAACAUACCACAAUGUAUUUUUCUGUCCUAUUUGAGAAGACUAUUUGGGUCAUUUCUGCUUUGGGGGCUAUUAAA